GCUGUUUUCGGCAGCAUAUAUUCUAAAUUGGACAGAUAAAGAAAAGACUAGCAUGGCCCUUGCACAAGGAUGGCAUGUAAAUUCAUGAAGCAUUUCAUAUUUUU